rnacentral:rRNA from 1 species
UACGUAGGUGGCAAGCGUUGUCCGGAUUUACUGGGCGUAAAGAGCGCGCAGGCGGUCGUUCAAGUCGCGUGUGAAAGCCCCCGGCUCAACUGGGGAGGGUCACGCGAUACUGAUCGACUGGAAGGCAGGAGAGGGUAGUGGAAUUCCCGGUGUAGUGGUGAAAUGCGUAGAUAUCGGGAGGAACACCUGUGGCGAAGGCGGCCCCCUGGUUGGAUACUGACGCUGAUACGCGAAAGCGUGGGGAGCAAACAGG